rnacentral:rRNA from 1 species
AAAUUGAAGAGUUUGAUCAUGGCUCAGAUUGAACGCUGGCGGCAGGCCUAACACAUGCAAGUCGAGCGGUAGCACAGAGAGCUUGCUCUCGGGUGACGAGCGGCGGACGGGUGAGUAAUGUCUGGGAAACUGCCUGAUGGAGGGGGAUAACUACUGGAAACGGUAGCUAAUACCGCAUAAUGUCGCAAGACCAAAGUGGGGGACCUUCGGGCCUCAUGCCAUCAGAUGUGCCCAGAUGGGAUUAGCUAGUAGGUGGGGUAACGGCUCACCUAGGCGACGAUCCCUAGCUGGUCUGAGAGGAUGACCAGCCACACUGGAACUGAGACACGGUCCAGACUCCUACGGGAGGCAGCAGUGGGGAAUAUUGCACAAUGGGCGCAAGCCUGAUGCAGCCAUGCCGCGUGUGUGAAGAAGGCCUUCGGGUUGUAAAGCACUUUCAGCGGGGAGGAAGGCGUUAAGGUUAAUAACCUUGCGAUUGACGUUACCCGCAGAAGAAGCACCGGCUAACUCCGUGCCAGCAGCCGCGGUAAUACGGAGGGUGCAAGCGUUAAUCGGAAUUACUGGGCGUAAAGCGCACGCAGGCGGUCUGUCAAGUCGGAUGUGAAAUCCCCGGGCUCAACCUGGGAACUGCAUUCGAAACUGGCAGGCUAGAGUCUUGUAGAGGGGGGUAGAAUUCCAGGUGUAGCGGUGAAAUGCGUAGAGAUCUGGAGGAAUACCGGUGGCGAAGGCGGCCCCCUGGACAAAGACUGACGCUCAGGUGCGAAAGCGUGGGGAGCAAACAGGAUUAGAUACCCUGGUAGUCCACGCCGUAAACGAUGUCGAUUUGGAGGUUGUGCCCUUGAGGCGUGGCUUCCGGAGCUAACGCGUUAAAUCGACCGCCUGGGGAGUACGGCCGCAAGGUUAAAACUCAAAUGAAUUGACGGGGGCCCGCACAAGCGGUGGAGCAUGUGGUUUAAUUCGAUGCAACGCGAAGAACCUUACCUGGUCUUGACAUCCACAGAACUUUCCAGAGAUGGAUUGGUGCCUUCGGGAACUGUGAGACAGGUGCUGCAUGGCUGUCGUCAGCUCGUGUUGUGAAAUGUUGGGUUAAGUCCCGCAACGAGCGCAACCCUUAUCCUUUGUUGCCAGCGGUCCGGCCGGGAACUCAAAGGAGACUGCCAGUGAUAAACUGGAGGAAGGUGGGGAUGACGUCAAGUCAUCAUGGCCCUUACGACCAGGGCUACACACGUGCUACAAUGGCAUAUACAAAGAGAAGCGACCUCGCGAGAGCAAGCGGACCUCAUAAAGUAUGUCGUAGUCCGGAUUGGAGUCUGCAACUCGACUCCAUGAAGUCGGAAUCGCUAGUAAUCGUAGAUCAGAAUGCUACGGUGAAUACGUUCCCGGGCCUUGUACACACCGCCCGUCACACCAUGGGAGUGGGUUGCAAAAGAAGUAGGUAGCUUAACCUUCGGGAGGGCGCUUACCACUUUGUGAUUCAUGACUGGGGUGAAGUCGUAACAAGGUAACCGUAGGGGAACCUGCGGUUGGAUCACCUCCUUA